AGCAGCCGCGGUAAUUCCAGCUCCAAUAGCGUAUAUUAAAGUUGUUGCAGUUAAAAAGCUCGUAGUUGAAUUUCGGGAUCAAUAUGUUGGUCGUGCCUUGGUACGUACUGGCGUCAUUGAUUUCUACCUUCUGAAGAACCUCGAUGUCAUUAAUUUGGUGUCUUGGGGAAUCAGGACUGUUACUUUGAAAAAAUUAGAGUGUUUAAAGCAAGCUCACGCUUGAAUACAUUAGCAUGGAAUAAUGAAAUGGGACGUUUGAUUCUAUUUUGUUGGUUUCUAGGAUCGACGUAAUGAUUAAUAGGGAUAGUUGGGGGCAUUAGUAUUCAAUUGUCAGAGGUGAAAUUCUUGGAUUUAUUGAAGACUAACUACUGCGAAAGCAUUUGCCAAGGAUGUUUUCAUUAAUCAAGAACGAAAGUUAGGGGAUCGAAGACGAUCAGAUACCGUCGUAGUCUUAACCAUAAACUAUGCCGACUAGGGAUCGGAUGAUGUUAAUUUUUUAAUGACUCAUUCGGCGCCUUAC
rnacentral:misc_RNA from 1 species